rnacentral:rRNA from 1 species
UACAGAGGUGGCAAGCGUUGUUCGGAAUUACUGGGCGUAAAGGGCGCGUAGGCGGUCUUGUAAGUCUUGUGUGAAAUCCCUCGGCUCAACUGAGGAACUGCACGGGAUACUGCGAGGCUUGAGUUCGGGAGAGGGAAGCGGAAUUCCGGGUGUAGCGGUGAAAUGUGUAGAGAUCGGGAGGAACACCGGUGGCGAAGGCGGGUCUCUGGGCCGUAGCUGACACUGAGGCGCGACAGCGUGGGGAGCAAACAGG